rnacentral:lncRNA from 1 species
CCACACUUAGAUCAGACUUGCCCUCAAGUAUGUACUCAUUAACAGAAAAAACCCAAAAAACUACCCAUAAUCAAUGGCUCACAAAGUUAACUCAACUUAUUUCAAAUAACCCGCAUUUCACAGCAAAAUCUCAUCAAUGUAUACAAAUCAUAAAAGAAAUACCAACACAAUCUUCAAAAGCUGAAAUGUAGCAAACUUAAUAUGUCAUCAUGCAAUUAAGUUCCAUCAAAUUCUUAAAUUAGUGCAUAAAGAAACAUAUACCCAA